AGAUUCUCUUUUGCAGCAGAUGUUUAUAGUUCGGUUUUUGGGAUCAAUGGCAGUUAAAACAGACAGCACUACUGAAGUGAUUUAUGAAGCGAUGAGACAAGUAUUGGCUGCUCGGGCUAUUCAUAACAUCUUCCGCAUGACAGAAUCCCAUCUGAUGGUCACCAGUCAAUCUUUGAGGUUGAUAGAUCCACAGACUCAAGUAUCAAGGGCCAAUUUUGAACUUACCAGUGUCACACAAUUUGCUGCUCAUCAAGAAAACAAGAGACUGGUUGGUUUUGUCAUCCGUGUUCCUGAAUCCACUGGAGAAGAAUCUCUGAGUACAUACAUUUUUGAAAGCAACUCAGAAGGCGAAAAGGUCUCUUUUUCAUGUGAAGAUCCCAUAAUAUCCCAGUCCAAACAAGUCCAUUUUAAAAGAGUUUUCUGGCAUU
rnacentral:sRNA from 1 species